rnacentral:lncRNA from 1 species
GGGGGAGGCAGCACACUGGGGUCAGGAGUGGAGAUACUUAGGCUCCCCAGAGAAAUUAGUCACAAGUCUUAUCCCUUCAUCUCCAUUUACAGCCAUUUAUUUGGGAGCAACAUACUUUAAAUGAGUGAUAAACAAAAUGUCUCCCCACAGCCCCCACCCCAGCAUGUGUUCUGAAGUUCACAGGAAGGCUUCUCCUCAUUUGCUUUGGGGCCCGCAGGCUGCCUGCUAACAGCUGGGUCUUCCCAUGAACAAAUUAGACAGUUAAUGUUCCAGGAUGAAGAGGGCUUCGGGGAACAGAAUCUGCCGUUUAUUUGACUUGCUUCAUUAGACACAGUGCCAUCAUACCAAAAUUAGAAAAAAGAAGGAACUCAGCGGAAAUCAGCUACACAAGAAGAACCUCUCAGUUCUGAGAAUUCACAUUAACCAGUGAUUAAGAAAUAUUAAAAAGGGCUGAUAGUCCACUACGUUAUCAAGUUCAAAGCCUAAGAAAUAUUGAACAUUUCCACACAUGAAUGUGGGUACUAUGUUUAAUUUGAGAAUGGCCAACUGUCCUCGAAGUCUCAAUCUCUUUGGAGCCUACCAGCUCCGAGAGAAGUUUGAGGAUGCUGCAAAACCCUCCCCUGCAAAUCCAUCUACUCCUCCCACUUCUAUCCUAAUGGGUAUAGUUCUUGGCUGUGCUGAGGAUCUGUAAGGCACCAGAUGUGAAAGUAAGGAAGAAAGAUGGAUGUGGAAGAAAGUCACUGCCCAGAGAAUAAGGAGACCUGGAUUCUAAUCUCAGCUCUGCCAUUAACUAGCUGUGAGACUCAAGAAUAACUAAUCAUUUUGAUAACUCGUUUUUUUACUUUUUAAAAUGAGGAGCCAAGUUUAGACAAUGAGCUCGGCUCUUCACCAGUGAUAAAGUGUCUGGGACAUGCUUCCAUUCAAGCAAUGCUCUUCCUUCUUGUCUAUACUUUAUCCAAGAAAGAAUAAAUCAUUUCCAAAUAUUUUCAAAGAUGAAACUAUGGCUCAAAAGGGAAUAAGAGAUCAAGGCAAGCAUGGACAUCUUGUACGUGGAAGUGCAGACCAGAACUUGUAUCACAGCCAGUCAUAUCUGGUGCUUUCCAUGCUACUUUUACAUACAUGUAUCCUUAAAUUUGAUCCUCUUCUAGUUUAGUCUAAACUCUUUACUUUGUAACUUCCAAACCUAAAAGGUGCAGCAGACAUUGACAAUCUUAA